CAGUAACGGCGAGUGAAGCGGCAACAGCUCAAAUUUGAAAUCUGGCUCCUUCGGGGUCCGAAUUGUAAUUUGUAGAGAGUGCUUCGGGCGAGACCUCGGUCUAAGUCCAUUGGAACAUGGUGUCAUAGAGGGUGAGAAUCCCGUAUGCGACCGUGGCUCGAGCCCAUGUGAAGCCUCUUCGACGAGUCGAGUUGUUUGGGAAUGCAGCUCAAAACGGGUGGUAAAUUUCAUCUAAAGCUAAAUACUGGCUGGAGACCGAUAGCGCACAAGUAGAGUGAUCGAAAGAUGAAAAGCACUUUGGAAAGAGAGUCAAACAGUACGUGAAAUUGUUGAAAGGGAAGCGCUUGCAACCAGACCUGCCCGUAGGCGAUCAGCCGCUGUUCUCAGCGGUGCACUCGCUCUGCGAUCAGGCCAGCAUCGGUUUCGGCGGUCGGAUAAAGGCCUUGGGAAUGUAGCUUCCCUUCGGGGAAGUCUUAUAGCCCUCGGUGUAAUGCGGCCAGCCGGGACCGAGGACCGCGCUUCGGCUAGGAUGCUGGCGUAAUGGUUGUAAGCGACCCGUCUUGAAACACGGACCAAGGAGUCUAACAUCUAUGCGAGUGUUUGGGUGUCAAACCCAUACGCGGAAUGAAAGUGAACGGAGGUGAGAACCCUUAAGGGCGCAUCAUCGACCGAUCCAGAUGUCUUCGGAUGGAUUUGAGUAUGAGCAUAGCUGUUGGGACCCGAAAGAUGGUGAACUAUGCCUGAAUAGGGUGAAGCCAGAGGAAACUCUGGUGGAGGCUCGCAGCGGUUCUGACGUGCAAAUCGAUCGUCAAAUUUGGGUAUAGGGGCGAAAGACUAAUC
rnacentral:rRNA from 1 species